CAGUCGCCACGGGAAUACGAGGGGGGCAAGCGUUGUUCGGAAUUAUUGGGCGUAAAGGGUGCGUAGGCGGUUUGACAAGUCUUAUGUGAAAUCUCUGGGCUCAACCCAGAGUCUGCAUGGGAAACUGUCGGGCUUGAGUAUGGGAGAGGUGAGUGGAAUUUCCGGUGUAGCGGUGAAAUGCGUAGAUAUCGGAAGGAACACCUGUGGCGAAAGCGGCUCACUGGACCAUUUCUGACGCUGAUGCACGAAAGCUAGGGGAGCAAAUGGGAUUAGAUACCCGCGUAGUCCCUGUCUCUUAUAU
rnacentral:rRNA from 1 species